GUUCCAAGGCUGGGGUUGAAUCAGAGCUGCAACACCAGAUCCUUAACCCACUGAGCGAAGCCGGGGAUCAAACCCACAUCCUCAUGGAUCCCAGUCAGGUUCGUUAACUGCUGAGCUACAAAGGGAAGUCCAGGAAAUUUUUUAUUCAAUGUCUAAUGGAAUAUUUUUCUACGAUGCAUAGUUGGCUAACUCCCAAAUGUGUCUUCAAAACACAAAUACUUUUCCCCAGUUCCUCCUAAAAAAUCAAAAUGACAUUUUUCUAUCUUUUCAACACCAUAUUGCUGAUAGGGCUUGCUUUUCUAAUAUUUCUUCUGUCUAGACAAAGCAAAGAGAAAGGCCUUCCUUUAGCCAUCUUCCCCAAAAUAAUUCAACCAGGAAGACACAACAGCAGAAAGAAUCUCAAAUGUCAUUUUGCCUUUUUUGUUUAAACUUUACCUCUGAGUAUAUAGAACCACAAAACAUUUAUAUCAUCAAAUUUUCCAUCACAGUGUGACCUUUUGGUGAAUCAAAGAAAAAUAAGGUAUUGCAUUUUAUUUUUUUUAUUGUUUCAGAAAACAAAGGAGUUAUUAACCAUAACAUGACACCAAAUAAUACAUGGAAAAGUUUAAAAGUAAACACUUCAAGUAGGUUUAUAAACAAAAACGAGAGUUUUUUUCAGGUUACCAAUAAUAAAACAUGCUUCAUCUUCCUCAUAUAUCCUUUAAUUUAUAGGUCAGAGCUGUCCUUCCCUUUUCACUCUGGAUAAUAAGUAAACUCCUUUUCCAUGACUUAUAUAAAGCCUGAUGCUCUUCCCAAGGUCUCUGCAAAUCAUUAGAGGCUCAUCUGCUCAGACACAUAUUUUAGCUUCUGCUUCUAUCAAAGCAGAUCAGUUUAUGGAUUAUCACAGCAUUCUUUAGAGCAGGGCCAACAUGCAGAAAUCAGUCCUUUUCCAUGAUUCACACAAAAUAAAAAUUAGUGUUUAGUAAACUUCAUCGAAGUUUUAAGGAAAAAAUAUAAUUACAGAAUACAACCUUAAAUGUAUUCAUUAAAAUGUUUUAUUCUUAAAAGUCAUUUGAGCCGUUCCACCAUGUUACCCCUUUCUGUCCCUUCUUUCUUUCCUCAAUUUUUUCCCUUUCUGUGCUUUCUGUCAAACUGCAGAGAGAGCAGUUUAGCUUUUUCUUCUGUGCUUCAUUUCCUGCUCACUCAUACUCACCCAGUUGCAUUCAGUCACCCAGAUCAUGUAUUAAGAUUUUUUUUGUCUUUGUUUUUGUGGUUGUCUUUUUAAAGCCUCACACAUGGCAUAUGGAAGUUCCCAGGCUAGGGAAUUACAGCUACUGGCCUACACCAAGGCCACAGCAACAUGGGAUCUAAGCCACGUCUGUGAUCUACACCACAAGGUUCAUGGCAACCGGGGAUCAUUAACCCACCUGAGCAAGGCCAGGGAUCGAACACGCACCCUCAUGGAUACCAGUGGGGUUCAUUACUGCUGAGGCACAAUGGGAACUCCAAUUUAUCAAGAUAUUUUCUUAAUUCCUUCUCCAAGAGAAACUCUAAAGUCACAAGCUAACAUAAUUUUUUCCCUCUCAUUUUGAUGUAUUCUUUAUCUUUGUUCCCUAUUAUAAAAGUUCAUACUCUUAAUCAGGGUUUGCCCAAGUUUGCUUUUAGAAGAGGAAUCUUUUUUCAAAUGAAAUCUAACAUAUGACACAUAUAUAGAAUACAUAUGCAAAGAAUCUUAAGAUGACUAAACCCUAAUAGAGCUGCUCUUUGCAGGGGAGGCUGGGAGUAGACUUGAGACUCUUUCCUUUGGCCUCAUCUUGACCUCUCUGCUCUAAUCUCAGACACAUUUCACUGGAAGACAAGGUCUAUAUAUAUAGCCAAGUGUGAAAAAUACUGGACUUCAUGAGGAAUAACAAUAAACUGCAGAAUUUGGUAACUGAUUAUAUAGAAGCAAUAAGAGAAAAAUGAGUCAAAGUUGAUCAGAGGAUUCUGAGCAUGUUAUGUUGAAAAAUUAUAAUACCUUUACUAGAAAUAACUUGAGGGAAGCAUAUAUACUUUUAGUGUCAUAAUUUGCAAAAAUAUGAAGAUUCUUUUCAUAAUGCAAUUUGAUGAAAUGAGCGUAAAGAUGGCAACUUAAGAAAUAACAUUUCUAAAUGAAUUUAUUGUAAAACUUAAGCAUUUUCACAUGAAUAAUUAAUGUCCAUAUUCAUCAAUACUUUCUGCUAUUAUAAUUACACAUAUUUGAAAGUUAAGUUGAUAAAUAAUAAGCUAAAUUAAAUUACAGCAUUUAAGUCUAAAGAAGCUACUUAUAUUUUUCUAUAAAAUAGCUUUCAUUUAUUAUACUGUGCCAAAGGAAUUAUUAGAUCCUUUUCUAUCUUUCUAUAGAUAUAUAUACCUUACAGCUCAUCUUUCCAGGAAGGGAAAUUUGUAUAAAAAUGGAAAGCAAUUAACUUAUAAGAGGAAGAGGACAGGACUAAUUUAUAAUGCCUACCAUAAACAAGGCACUGUUCUCACGAUUUUAUAUCAGCACUUUUCAUUCUGAUUACACAAGAAAAUCUCCCAGGGAUAUUUUUUAAAAACUUUAUGCAUAAGUGCUGCCCCAGAGAUUCUGAUUUAAUUGAUCAGAAGUGGGGCUUUGACUUAAGAAUUUUUUAAGGCUCUCCAGGUAGUUAUAAUGUGCAACUAGGAUUGUAAAGAAGUUUUGCAUACUUUAGUUCAUAUUUUCAUCAAAACAAUCUGACCAGUUAAGUUUAUUAUCCCUUAUUUAAGAGUAGAAAAUUAAAUUUCAGAAAGGUUGAAUAUUUUUCCUUAGGGCGUAAGAAAGUAAAUAUUAGAGUUGGAAUUUAAACCCAAGACUCUCUGACUACAAUGAUGCUUUUAACCCUCACUUUGUCAAAUUCAAAACACCAGAAUUAUUAUUAUGAAUUAAUAGCAGAUAUUUAUAUUUUGUCUUAAUUCUGGCUUUAAAAGAAGGUAGAAUAAAGCCUCUUUUGCCUUUCAUUUUCUAGCAAGACACCAUUUUCUAUUCUUUUCUUUAUGAAAUAUAGUU
rnacentral:lncRNA from 1 species